AAUCAACGCUGGCGGCGCGCUUAACACAUGCAAGUCGAGCGAGAAAGGGAGCAAUCCUGAGUAAAGUGGCGUACUGGUGAGUAACACGUGGAUAUCUACCUCUUGGUGGGGAAUAACCUGGGGAAACCUGGGCUAAUACCGCAUAAGUUCGUGAGAAGAAAGGCGUAAGUCGCCGAGAGGGGAGUCCGCGGUCGAUUAGGUAGUUGGCAGGGUAAAAGCCUACCAAGCCGAAGAUCGAUAGCCGGCCUGAGAGGGCACACGGCCACACUGGCACUGAAACACGGGCCAGACUCCUACGGGAGGCAGCAGUGGGGAAUCUUGCACAAUGGGGGAAACCCUGAUGCAGCGACGCCGCGUGAGCGAUGAAGCCCUUCGGGGUGUAAAGCUCUUUCAGCAGGAACGAUAAUGACGGUACCUGCAGAAGAAGCUGCGGCUAACUACGUGCCAGCAGCCGCGGUAAUACGUAGGCAGCAAGCGUUGUUCGGAAUUACUGGGCGUAAAGAGUGUGUAGGUGGUGUCGUAAGUUUGGUGUGAAAUCUCCCGGCUUAACUGGGAGGGUGCGCCGAAGACUGCGAUGCUUGAGUAUGGGAGAGGAAAGCGGAAUUCCUGGUGUAGCGGUGAAAUGCGUAGAUAUCAGGAGGAACACCUGCGGUGUAGACGGCUUUCUGGACCAUUACUGACACUGAGACACGAAAGCGUGGGUAGCAAACAGGAUUAGAUACCCUGGUAGUCCACGCCCUAAACGAUGCAUACUUGGUGUGAGCCAUUCAGUUGGUUCGUGCCGGAGCUAACGCGUUAAGUAUGCCGCCUGGGGAGUACGGUCGCAAGGCUGAACUCAAAGGAAUUGACGGG
rnacentral:rRNA from 1 species